rnacentral:rRNA from 1 species
AGCGAACGCUGGCGGCAGGCCUAACACAUGCAAGUCGAGCGGCAGCGGGUUCCCGCGAGGGGAUGCCGGCGAGCGGCGGACGGGUGAGGAACACAUCGGAAUCUGCCUGGUUGUGGGGGAUAACGUAGGGAAACUUACGCUAAUACCGCAUGCGACCCUGAGUCGACGGACUGGGGGUGAAAGUGAGGGACCUUCGGGCCUCACGCGACCAGAUGAGCCGAUGUCGGAUUAGCUAGUUGGCGGGGUAACGCCCGCCAAGGCGACGAUCCGUAGCUGGUCUGAGAGGAUGAUCAGCCACACUGGGACUGAGACACGGCCCAGACUCCUACGGGAGGCAGCAGUGGGAAUCUUGGACAAUGGGCGCAAGCCUGAUCCAG